UACGGGGGGUGCGAGCGUUGUCCGGAAUCACUGGGCGUAAAGGGCGCGUAGGUGGUUUGAUAAGGGUGUGGUGAAAGCCCGGGGCUCAACCCCGGGUCUGCCGUGCCGACUGUCAAACUCGAGGGCUGUAGAGGCAGACGGAAUUCCGGGUGUAGCGGUGGAAUGCGUAGAGAUCCGGAGGAAGACCAGUGGCGAAGGCGGGUCUCUGGACAGUUCCUGACGCUGAGGCACGAAGGUCAGGGGAGCAAACGGG
rnacentral:rRNA from 1 species